rnacentral:misc_RNA from 1 species
CUGUUGGUUUAGAUGCCCGGAAGUGAAUAAUGAUGCAAGGCAUAAAACAAUGUUGGAUGUUGGUCAUAGACUGGGGUAAUGCUCCCCCAAUGAUGAUAAUAUUGUGUUAAACGUUUUAAUUUUUUUCCCCCUCCAAUGAUUGGAAUCUGUGUCUGCCACAUCCUUCCCUAGAAUGUGAUUGACUACUCAUUCCUUAGAUUAUUUCCAAAGGAAAAUUUCUUGAAAGAACAAUGCUCAAACUUUGUUACUUUUUCAUGAGUGUUGAAGUUAAUUGAGAACUUACCAUGUUCACUGAGUGCAUUUCCUUGU